UGAUAUAAGGUUGAUCAAGUAUACUUACAUGUAACAUCCUACCCAAGUUUCAGGUCACGUGACUAAGGUCAAGGUCAUGUAGGUACAAUGAACUUAGACGCAUGCAGAGGAGUGGCAGUCAUGCUAGAUCAAAGCGAUGAUCCCACCAAUAUUUAUCUACAUGCCUUUCGAAUGAUUCUUUUGUUGGCAAGACCACUCUACUUUCAGGGAGGCUAUUCCAAUCAUCUAUCACUCUUCUGCUUUAAUACAGACUAGCUGCGAACGUCCAGUCUACAGUACUCUUUCUCAAGCUUCAGAUAGUGUCCCUGUGUUGAUCUACCUACUGAUUUUGUGAAGAAGUGAUCUAGAGGGAGAUUGAUAAGUCCAUACAUUAACUGGUGCACAAAGAUCAUGUCUCCUCUUCUCCUGUACAGCAGGGAGCACAAGAUCAAUUCUUUAAGUCUGUCUUUAUAUGGGACGUUCUUCAGCUCUCUAACCAGCUUGGUUGCCAUUCUUUGGACCCUUUCAAUCCUUGCAUCUUUGUAUCUGCUAUGCCAAAAGAGACUACCAUAUUCAAGGUGGGGUCUUAUUAAGGUAUUGAAGAGACAAAUUUGCUGAAUAAAUCAUAAUGCUUUUAGAGUUCAUAUAUGUAGGGAACAAUUCUUACUCUGCAGUGUAUGUGCUUAAAAAAUGUCUGCCUCUCUAUCAAGAUCUGGCUCUCUGGUAGGAUAGACCCCUUGCCCAAUGUCCACUUUAUAGUAAUGCACAUGUUAGGGUCUUGUGUACAUACCUGUGCAGACCCACAAGUCCAUGAUUUAGAAAACACAUCAGAUAAGCUGACAUUCCCAAGAGAACUGCUGUACAACAACCCUCUGAGUAUAACUGUACUUUGAACUGAGGUCAUCAUAUUCUUGCAUGCCUGGACACAUUGCACACAGCGAGACUUGGACUAGAGAUACAAAUGUCGUCCAUCCGUCACAAACCUAAUGACACAUUAGGUUUGUGACUUUAAGUCGCUUUUAACUUUAAGUCGCGUCACAACUUUGUGACUUUAAGUCGCUUCACAACUUUAAGUCGCUUUUCAACCAAACUUGGAUGGUAGAUGGACUUGGGGGACCUGCAUUUUAUGCUGGAGUCGGAGGUCACAUGGUGCCUAUGCACAUCAAGGCAGAUCAGUCAGCAGUCCAUUGGGCGUCGUUACUUCAGCAGCAGUGGAAGCAGUAGAGAUAGAGACUGUGAAAGAGGCCGUGAACGAGAGAGGGAUUGUGCCCAGCGAGAAAGAGAACGAGAAAGGGAACGUGAACAUCGAGAGAGGGAACGCGAACGUGAAAGGGUGAAGGAAAGGGAGAAGUCUCCAGUGUGCGAUCCAGGUCUCCAUGUCAUUCCAAGUCGUCAAGAAGAUCACCAAGGCAUACCAAGAGGGUAGUACAGCUAUACUGUGUUCAGAUACCACUCUUUGCUCUGGAUAUGAUGAAUAUAGCAAGGAGGAUGAUAAAGAUGGAGAAGAGGAAGAGAACAAAACAAAGAGCAAUGAAGAUGAGAAUGAUGGUGAUCCUUGACAGUAUGUCAUCCAACAAAAAAGGAUCAAAGACUAUGGCUCCUGAUGGUGUUACCAUGGUAAAGUAUGGUGGAACAGUAACUGACAUUGCUAACCUGUUGAAACAAGUACAGAAGGCUGAUCAGGAGAGAUCUAUGGCAGAGAAGAAGAUUGAAUCUUUGGAGAAAAAGAUAGACACCCUGAAAAGUAAGGCCGCUCCAGUGAAGCCACCAUUACCAAUGUCAUCGGUGAGCUGCUAGACGUCCAGAAGAAACUCUCUACUUCUUAGCGUGCACUCAUUGGCUCAUCCACCUGCUCCAAGAAGCUUAUUGAUGUCAUUGGAACUGCUCAGAAAAACCUAGAUGAAGUCAUACUCAAAUUAACGAGGUCCUGGAGGAAGCCCUGCUUCCCCCUACUCAAACAGACUACUGGGAAAAAUUUCCCCAUUUUGUAUGGUGUAGAGUCAAUAUAUCCUUUCUUUUUGCCUUUUCAUAUUUGAUCUGUUUUGACCUUUCAAUGACACUGCAUAUUUUUUUACAUGUAGGGACCCUUCUCAGUUUAUGGUUAUUGUAAAUCAUAUAUUUAAUAGAGCAUUGUGUUUUAUAUUGUCUCUAACACCGAGUAAUACUUCAAGCCAUUUUACAUCAAGGAAUUUUUAAAAUGUAAUUUGUUUCCUAUUUCAGUCCAAAUCUUGAAGACACUUCAUCACAUUUAAAAAAUACAUGAUAGUAUGUUUCUUUUUCUAUAGAAAGAGCAUGUAUUGGAAUGUAUCAUACCACUCUGGAAAAGUUUGUCAUUACAAAAUAUGAUGCUAUGUCAAAGUUUAUAUUGAAAUUCUUUAGCUUCCAGUCUAAUGUGGAGACUCAAGGGAUAGUAAAACAAGUUGCAACUGCAGACUUAUUCAAGUUUAAAGCUGAUACAUCUGGAUGUUUAAAAGCAAAUGCAUCUUGUAUUGUAUUAAUAAAUAUAAUAUAGAUCAUCAGAGGUAAAGGAAAGCACAUUCUUGUUAAUAUCAAAAUAUAUGUUCGAAAAAUCAAUAUUAUCGUGCCAUGUGUCACCACUCCCUGAGGAUUUUUCUCCAAUUCUUCCAUUCAGUUGGCAUAUUGUUAUACAACUCAUUAAGAGAAAAUAAAUCAUUUACACCUUAGCCUUUUCGAAAGAAAACAUCUCCUGUUCUCAUUUUGCCAUCUGUGUCUUUAAUGUAUUUCACUUGAGAAAUGUUAACCUUAAAUAAUUUUUUAUUAAAAGGAAAGGUCCUAUCUGAUAAAGGUAUUGCUAAAAAUUAUUUGGUUUUCAAUGUGCAUUUCUCUGAUAAUAAAUUCCCUUUCUUUUAAGUAAUUCCAAAUAUCCAAAAAUUCCAAGUAGAGGUUAAGUAUAUUGAUAUUGAAGCUUUGGGAUUGUAAUUACAAAGAAAUACAAUUUGAUCUACACUGAAUAGCACCCUCUUUGGUGGCCCAUGACAAGUCAGGGUAUUUUUUCACUUGAUGAACAUUGAGACAGUAUCCAGGGGACUGUUUCUCAACACCGUCAUAAGUCUAACUUGACUAAAUCAGAGAUAGAGAUAGAUAGUUUUCAGACCCCUACUAACAUUUGGAUAAAUUCUAAUUUAUGCAUAGAAUUUGUCAAAUUGUAUGUUUUGGUAUCAAAGAUUUUAAAAGUUUAUGUUAAGAUAUAUUCUGAUGAUGUUUAGAGUCAUAAAAAACUAUGAUUAUUAUCAUUUAAAAAAAAGAAAACUGUUAUGGUUUACUUUCGUAAACUAUUAAAAUUGGAUAUCCUGGGGGUACCCAUCUCAAUGUCCACAUGUGACUUUUAGUAAUGAAAUGAAUUAUUCAUAAUUUGAUUUUCUCAGCAAUUAAGUGCUCCAGUCUUCAUGGUCUAAGUAUGCAUGAUAUAUGAUUUACCUGUGCGAUUAUUUUGAAAAGAUGUAUUUCCCAAUUCAUCACAAUAUCUGCUAUUUUGUCAUAAUUUUUCGUUUUGAAAAUUAUGCUAUUUUGUGACUAAGGCUGUGUUACGUCUGCUCUUUUUACCGAUAGUAUCGAUAUCAAGGUGUUCUAGUUAGGAAUCCUUUUGUGAAAUAGGUUUAAUAAGAUUGGAACAAACUCAGUGGCUGAUGGAUAAAGAUAUGACUAACUUGUCAAGGUGAGAAAGGGGCCCAGCUUUGUACGCAGCAGUACUAACCAUUAGUUGAAAUGCCAAAUAUACUUUCACAUUGAUUUCAGAUAAUUAUUGGUAUCACUUUUUAUUUCAUCCUGAAAAAAACUGUUUAAAAAUACUUCUUGUUUUAUCCCCAAAUCUGUAGUUUGCUUAUGUUUUGCCCGAUGAUGUAUGAAUAAGAUGGUGCUGUUGCUUGUGAAUCUAUACCAGUUCAAGGCAAACUUACUCUGUUUGGGGUUUCUUGUUUGUUUGGUUUUUCACUAAGUAAUGACUUUAUAUGAGAAUAGCUUUUCUUUUACAGGAAACAUUGCAAACUGAAAAUCAGGAUAAACACUGUCAGCUAUUACACAUUCACUGACAACAGAACGACCCAGGGAUUAUCUUAGUUACCACUUCCUAUAGCAAUACAAGUAACUCUGCCUAGGUCAGAUCUCUUGGGACCAAAUAAUAAUAAAUAUGUUCGACUUGGGCAAAAUUCAACUGAAAAAGAGUAUAUGACACAUGUUUUGAAUAAUCUAAGAAAUUGCUUCGCAAUUAUUCAACUUGUGGAAGAUCGACUUAGGCAGAGUUACCUGUAUAUGAUAGGGAUACUUUGCUCAUUAUUGUGACCCUGUUAAAUGAUAGAGACUCUCAUGACCUGUAAUAAUUACAUUUUCACUAUACAUUCGAUUGGAUUGCAUUUUUUGGCCCUUUGAAAUCGUGUGAUUAUUUGUUGGAAGUACCAAUUUUUCUGUAUGCAACUUUCAUUUAAACUUGGAAUUUGUUGAUUAUGGUAUGGCUUAACGUUCCAAUAUUUUAACAUUUUGAUUUUUAUGGAUGUUUUAUCAAAAAUGAGUUAAUAUAAAGUAGAUGCAGGGGGACAGUGAUUCAUUAAUAGUCAUAAUUUAUUGACCAGCUUUAUUAUUUGAAUUAUGAAUGAUAACAAAACAUAAAACACUGAAUCAUAGUGAAAUUGUAUGCUACUUUGGGGGAAUAAAUGAUAAUGAAUACAAGUCAGAUUUCUUCAUUAUGCACUUAAAUAGAGAUUACUAAAAGACACUUGUAAAAUUAGGGAUUUGUUUGAAUCUAUAAAUGACAGAUUUUUAUUGUUUUUACAGGAUCAGGGAUUUCAAAGUACAUACCUGCUCAAUUAUACCUGCUCAAUUAAUACAAACUUUCCCCUACUAUAUUGUUUGUAUAAAAUAAUAAAAUGUAAAUGAUACUUAAAAGGUUUCAAAAUUUGGAAGGGCAUGGAAUUCAGAUAUAUUAUAAUAGUUCUUACAUAUGCUCUAAAGAGCAGAAAUUGGUUUGUAAUUAUGAAAUGAAGUACAAUAAUUUGGUCAUCCUUUGUUCAGGCAGGGAUGAAAUGACAACAAAAUAAAUUGUUUUGUUUCAGAGAGUAUGCAGGGGAUGAGUUCUUUAAUAGUUUGUUAAUUUUCUCUUUGAAAAAUAUGAUAUGAUUACACACUGCAAAUAUUGUGCAAGUUUAGAAUAAGGGUGGACCAGAGGAUGAUAUGCCCACAUUCUCUGAUAAGUAAUAGUAUUUUUGUGAAAUGCCAAAUCUACCCAUAGAUAGGAAAUUCAAAAUGGACAUCAUAGAUUGAUUUGAUGUAUAUUUUUUUUCUUGUGAGAUGAAACAUUUCUUUCUUUGAUGUGGAACUGGAAA